UUUCAACGGAGAGUUUGAUCCUGGCUCAGGACGAACGCUGGCGGCGUGCUUAACACAUGCAAGUCGAACGGUAAGGCCCUUCGGGGUACACGAGUGGCGAACGGGUGAGUAACACGUGAGUAACCUGCCCCAGUCUCUGGGAUAACCGCCGGAAACGGCGGCUAAUACUGGAUAUUCAGCGUCUGCCGCAUGGUGGGUGUUGGAAAGCUCCGGCGGAUUGGGAUGGGCUCGCGGCCUAUCAGCUUGUUGGUGAGGUAGUGGCUCACCAAGGCUUCGACGGGUAGCCGGCCUGAGAGGGCGACCGGCCACAUUGGGACUGAGAUACGGCCCAAACUCCUACGGGAGGCAGCAGUGGGGAAUAUUGCACAAUGGGCGGAAGCCUGAUGCAGCAACGCCGCGUGCGGGAUGACGGCCUUCGGGUUGUAAACCGCUUUCAACGCAGACGAAGCGAAAGUGACGGUAUGCGUAGAAGAAGCACCGGCCAACUACGUGCCAGCAGCCGCGGUGAUACGUAGGGUGCGAGCGUUGUCCGGAAUUAUUGGGCGUAAAGAGCUUGUAGGCGGUUUGUUGCGUCAGAAGUGAAAUCUCAGUGCUUAACACUGAGCGUGCUUCUGAUACGGGCAGACUAGAGGAAGUUAGGGGAGAACGGAAUUCCUGGUGGAGCGGUGGAAUGCGCAGAUAUCAGGAGGAACACCGGUGGCGAAGGCGGUUCUCUGGGACUUUCCUGACGCUGAGAAGCGAAAGCGUGGGGAGCAAACAGGCUUAGAUACCCUGGUAGUCCACGCCGUAAACGGUGGGUACUAGGUGUGGGUCACAUUCCACGUGAUCCGUGCCGCAGCUAACGCAUUAAGUACCCCGCCUGGGGAGUACGGCCGCAAGGCUAAAACUCAAAGGAAUUGACGGGGCCCCGCACAAGCGGCGGAGCAUGCGGAUUAAUUCGAUGCAACGCGAAGAACCUUACCUGGGUUUGACAUAUGCCGGAAACAUUCAGAGAUGGAUGCCCCUUUUUGGUCGGUAUACAGGUGGUGCAUGGCUGUCGUCAGCUCGUGUCGUGAGAUGUUGGGUUAAGUCCCGCAACGAGCGCAACCCUCGUCCAAUGUUGCCAGCACGUAAUGGUGGGGACUCAUUGGAGACCGCCGGGGUCAACUCGGAGGAAGGUGGGGAUGACGUCAAGUCAUCAUGCCCCUUAUGUCCAGGGCUUCACGCAUGCUACAAUGGCCGGUACAAAGGGCUGCGAACCUGCAAGGGUGAGCGAAUCCCAAAAAGCCGGUCUCAGUUCGGAUUGGGGUCUGCAACUCGACCCCAUGAAGUCGGAGUCGCUAGUAAUCGCAGAUCAGCAACGCUGCGGUGAAUACGUUCCCGGGGCUUGUACACACCGCCCGUCAAGUCAUGAAAGUCGGUAACACCCGAAGCCAGUGGCCCAACCGUGAGGAGGGAGCUGUCGAAGGUGGGACUGGUGAUUAGGACUAAGUCGUAACAAGGUAGCCGUACCGGAAGGUGCGGCUGGAUCACCUCCUUUCU
rnacentral:rRNA from 1 species